rnacentral:rRNA from 1 species
UACGAAGGGUGCAAGCGUUGUUCGGAAUUACUGGGCGUAAAGCGCGCGUAGGCGGCUUAGUAAGUUGGGAGUGAAAUCCCGGGGCUCAACCUCGGAAUUGCUUUCAAAACUGCUAAGCUAGAGUAUGGUAGGGGAUAGUGGAAUUCCUAGUGUAGAGGUGAAAUUCGUAGAUAUUAGGAGGAACACCAGUGGCGAAAGCGACUGUCUGGGCCAUUACUGACGCUGAGGCGCGAAAGCGUGGGGAGCAAACAGG